rnacentral:rRNA from 1 species
UUAUGUGAUCGUCUCUCGCAUAUCAAUAAGCGGAGGAAAAGAAACUAACAAGGAUUCCCCUAGUAACGGCGAGUGAAGCGGGAAGAGCUCAAAUUUGAAAUCUUAAAGGGUUUCCCUUUACGAAUUGUAGUUUAAAGAAGUGUUUUCUGUUGAGGCUUUGGUAAAAGUUCUUUGGAAUAGGACAUCAUAGAGGGUGAGAAUCCCGUAUUUGACCUUUACUUUCAACUUUGUGAUACACUUUCAAAGAGUCGGAUUGUUUGGGAAUGCAGUCCAAAAUGGGUGGUAAAUUUCAUCUAAAGCUAAAUAUUGGCGAGAGACCGAUAGCGAACAAGUACCGUGAGGGAAAGAUGAAAAGAACUUUGAAAAGAGAGUUAAACAGUACGUGAAAUUGUCAAAAGGGAAGCGUUUGACACCAGUGUUGUUUUUCUGAAAAUCAAUUAAAGAACUGUUUAUGCUAAGUUGUUUAGACUUUAUCAGCUAACUGUUUAGUUUUGAGCUUUUCUUUAAUGCACUUUUCAGUUAACAAGUCAACAUCAAUUUCUUUUGCUGUAAGAAAGCUUGAGGAAGGUGGCUUGAGAUUCGUCUUAAGUGUUUAUAGCCUCUUGCCUAUGCAGUCGGAGAGAUUGAGGUCUGCAGCGUAGAUCCUUCGGGGCUAAAUGCAUUUGUGCUAAGUUAUAGCAUUUUAUAGACAACUUGUUGACUAUGAUUUGUCUUGUAGCUUACUCGCUUAUGUUAUUUUACCUACGCUUAGGAUGUUGAAGUCAUCGUAUCGCGC